rnacentral:rRNA from 1 species
GUCCACGCCGUAAACGAUGAUAACUAGCUGUCCGGGCACUUGGUGCUUGGGUGGCGCAGCUAACGCAUUAAGUUAUCCGCCUGGGGAGUACGGCCGCAAGGUUAAACUCAAAGAAAUUGACGGGGGCCUGCACAAGCGGUGGAGCAUGUGGUUUAAUUCGAAGCAACGCGCAGAACCUUACCAACGUUUGACAUCCCCAGUAUGGAUACCAGAGAUGGUUUCCUUCAGUUCGGCUGGCUGGGUGACAGGUGCUGCAUGGCUGUCGU